rnacentral:ncRNA from 1 species
UGCAAAAGCCAAACCUGCUGUGAAGCAGGGACGGAAAACCACGGAUCUCUCGUCAGACAGCCGGGUUGC